rnacentral:rRNA from 1 species
AACAAACGCUGGCGGCGCGUUUUAAGCAUGCAAGUCGGACGGCAAGAGCUGUAGCAAUAUGGCUCCUAGAGUGGCGAACGGGUGAGUAUCACGUAGGUGAUCUGCCCUUGGAUGGGGGAUAGUCCGUGGAAACACGGGGUAAUACCGCAUGAGGCCUUGUGGGUAGAGCCAUGAGGUGAAAGGUGCAAUUGCACCGUCUGGGGAUGAGCCUGCGGUCCAUUAGGUAGUUGGCGGGGUAAGGGCCCACCAAGCCUACGAUGGAUAGCCGGCCUGAGAGGGUGUACGGCCACACUGGAACUGAGACACGGUCCAGACUCCUACGGGAGGCAGCAGCUAAGAAUCUUCCGCAAUGGGGGAAACCCUGACGGAGCGACGCCGCGUGGACGAUGGAGGCUGUAAGGUUGUAAAGUCCUUUUCCUGGUGAAGAAUGACCGUGGGAGUGGAAAGCCCAUGGGAUGACGUUAGCCAGGGAAUAAGCCCCGGCCAAUUACGUGCCAGCCGCCGCAGUAAAAC